rnacentral:rRNA from 1 species
CGGGACGGGUGAGUAACACGUGGAUAACCUACCUAUAAGACUGGGAUAACGUUCGGGAAACCGGAGCUAAUACCGGAUAAUAUAUUGAACCGCAUGGUUCAAUGGUGAAAGACGGUUUUGCUGUCACUUAUAGAUGGAUCCGCGCCGCAUUAGCUAGUUGGUAAGGUAACGGCUUACCAAGGCAACGAUGCGUAGCCGACCUGAGAGGGUGAUCGGCCACACUGUAACUGAGACACGGUCCAGACUCCUACGGGAGGCAGCAGCU